rnacentral:rRNA from 1 species
AUGAUGUCUGCAGCUGUCCAGCAGGUCGCUGGUGGUUUCUCAUCAGCAGUUAUCCAACGUGUUGUGGACAAGACGAUGGACUUCCUUGGGGGCAACUAUAAUUUGAGCCAUGCUACUGAAGAGCUUCUGGCCAAACUCCGCACAAGCCUCAUCAUGGUGAAGGCCAUAACUGAGGUGGCUGACAAUCAGAUUAUCAUCAACACUAGUCUUACUGAGUGGUUGAGGAACCUUCAUAAUGCUGCCUAUGAAGCGGAGGAUGUGCUGGACAGAUUUGAUUGCCAUGAGAUAGUCACGGGAAAGCGCAAGGUGAGCGAACUCAUAUCGUCAUCGGUUAGGGCCCUGAAAGGUUUGAUUGUGCCUGAUGAGAGCAUGACACUGCUCGAAUCUGUUGUGCAAAAGCUAGAUCACCUUUGUAACACAUCCAUCACAUUUUUGGAGCUCAUAAAGCAGAGUAGGUCAACAUCCAUCAAGGAGGAGGGAGUUGGGGGAGAGACUACUUCUCGUGUUCCAGUUGAUGUCAAGGUAUUUGGGCGCGAUGAAGUUUUAGAGUUGAUAAUGAAAAUUAUUUUGGGUUUAUCUAGCUCUGAACCAGAAUCCAGCGGAAUAAGAGCAAAACUUGGGGAAAGGUACCGCAUUAGUGGUGUUGAUGUUAUCCCAAUUGUUGGUAUGAGCGGGGUUGGGAAGACAACCCUUGCUCAAGUCAUUUACAAUCAUGGAAAGGUGAAGGACCACUUUACUCAGAGAGCAUGGGUGUAUGUUUCAAAACACUUUGGUGUCAAGAGAACAUUGCAAGAGAUGUUGCGCUCUUUGAAAGGAAAUGAUUCAUCUUUUGACUAUGCUGAUAGUCUGGAAACAAUUGUCAACAACAUUCAAAAUGUCAUCCAGCAGGAAGGAAGAUUCCUUCUUGUGCUAGACAGUGUUUGGGAUGAGAUGUGUGACCAGUGGAGUAGUUUGCUUAUUGCCAUAGCUUGUGAACUGCCGGGAAGUGUAGUUCUUGUCACAACACAAAGCAAAAGGGUUGCAAAAACAGUGGCAACAGUGUGUCAAGUUCCACUAGAACCUUUGCCAUGGGAGAGUUUUUGGCCAGUUUUCCAGUAUUAUGCAUUUGGCACAACCAAUGUUGCGGUUGAGAACAACCAGACUCUUCUGUUAAUUGGUGAACAAAUAGCAAAAAAACUAGGUGGUCUGCCAUUAGCAGCAAAAGUAAUGGGAAAUCUGUUGAGAUCCAGAAUAACUGCAGAUCAGUGGAAAAGGAUCCUAGAGAGUGAUUGGUGGGACAUGAGGGAAGUUAUUCGUGAAAUCCUUCCAUACAUGGGAAUUAGCUAUCAAGAUCUUCAACCUAAACAAAGGCAGAGCUUUGCUUUCUGUUCGAUUUAUCCAGAAAAUUACUUGUUUGACAAAGAUAGAUUGGUCAAUAUGUGGAUUUCUCAUGACUUGAUUGAACAAAGCGAAUCUGAUGACACUAGAUUAGAGGAUAUUGGAAGCAAAUUGUUUGAUGAACUUGUGGAAAGAUCAUUUUUCCAGGCUACAUUUGACAAAAAGUGGUACACUAUGCAUGAUCUAGUCCGGGCUCUGGCAAUUGGUGUUUCUUCAUAUGAAUGCUUCCUUCACAAAGAGACCUCACGCGGCGCAUCAGCAAAUGUUCGCCACUUGGCUCUGCAAGUCAGUAAUCAACUGCACAUUCAUGAACUCAACAAGUACACAAAUCUGCGGACAAUCUUAUUGUUUGGUCAUUGUGACAGUGAUGCAAUUUGUGAUGUUAUCGACACAAUGUUGGCCAACUCAAGAAGUAUUCGAGUGUUAGACUUGUCUCAUUUGGAGGUCCUGACGAAUAUGCCGUCAAACAUUGCAUCCUUGAGAAAAUUGAGGUUCCUUGAUCUUUCUUUCACAAGAAUCAGCAAUUUGCGCAACUUACCUUCCAACCUUCAAGUUCUAUACCUCCAUGGAUAUGCCCGGAAUAGUAUUCCUCAAAGCAUAAAUAGGCUUGCCAACAUACGACACCUUUAUGUUGGUGCUACAGCUCUCUCUCUGAUUCCUGGUAUUGGGCAACUAAGUCAACUUCAAGAAUUGAAGAACUUCAGUGCUGGAAAGAGAAAUGGGUUCAUGGUAAGUGAGUUGAAGAACAUGCAAGAGUUAUCUGGGAAACUUUGCAUCAGCAACAUCCACAUCAUUAGGAGCAAGCAUGAGGCAAUGGAUGCCAAUAUGUCUGAGAAGAAGCACCUUCAGGCCUUGGAAUUGAAGGGUAGAAAUGUAUCCAAAGAUGUACUUGAAGGAUUGCAGCCACACUCAAAUCUGCAAGAGCUCAUGAUUGAAGGCUACGGGGCCACUACUUUACCAAGCUGGAUGUUGCAAGGUCACAUCUUUACAAAACUUCAGUCCCUUCAUGUUGGAAACUGUCGACUUCUGGUUGUACUUCCACCAUUUGGAAAAUUCCCUUCACUCAAGCAUCUCACCCUAGAUAACUUGCCGUCAGUAAGGCAUGUUGAUGGAACAUUUUUUGGCUGUCUCCCAAGUUUGGAGGACUUGACUAUUUCUUCGAUGACAUCAUGGACAAAAUGGUUACAUGCCGAAGAAGAUCAUGGCCCUCUCCUUCAACACGUCACAAGGUUUCGACUUCACAAUUGCCCUUCACUGAAAGAAGUGCCGUAUCUAUCUUUCAUAUCUUCACUGUCAGAACUUGACAUUUCAGCUUGUGGGGACUUUGUCAAGGCACUGCCACAGUAUGUACAACUCUUGGCAUGUCUCAAAAAAUUAAGUAUGUCUUACUGCGAUCACCCAGUGCUAUUCUCUGGGCAUCAGUUGAAGUCACUUGAGUAUCUAUAUCUUAGAAAAUGUGGAGGGCUACGUUUGCUUGAUGGGUUACAUUGCUUUCCCAGCCUCAGGCAAGUCAAUGUUUAUGGUUGUCCAGACAUUCUUACUGAAUUCUCAGACCAAUCAACUAGACAAGAUGUGCAAGCUGUACCUCGGCUCACCAAUAUGAUUACCGAUCAGAGCCUGCUAAAUAGAAAUGGUUUUCUGCCCUCGGUGCAAGAUUUGCUUGUUGCUUUUAUAGAUGAGCAUUAUUUUACCCCAGAGCAGGAGGAAUGGUUUGAACAACUAAUCUCCCUCGAAAAAAUCGAGUUUGGUUUCUGUAAUUUUCUUCAACGUCUCCCUUCUACACUAGCCAGACUUACCUCCUUAAAAGUACUUCACGUCAAAUGGACAAACCCAUUAUCACUGGAAGGAGUUGUGCCUCAUAAUCUCCAAGAAUUAGUCAUGCAAGAGGUUACAGUUGAGACAGAAAAUAAUUUCAAACCUGGAGGAUCAGAAUGGGUGAACAUUUGUCAUGUUCCAUAUAUUCGGCUUAACAAGAAGACAGUCCAGAAUCGGGCAAAUGAUGCUGCUUCAUCGUCUUCAACCCACCAAAUUUGA